rnacentral:tRNA from 1 species
AAAUGAAUUUUUUAAUAUGGCAGAUUACAGUGCAUUGGACUUAAACCCCACUUAUAAAGAUUUAAUAAUCUUUUAUUAAAA